CCCUUAGAUGUUCUGGGCCGCACGCGCGCUACACUGAUGCAUUCAACGAGCCUAUCCUUGACCGACAGGUCCGGGUAAUCUUUGAAUCUGCAUCGUGACGGGGAUAGAUUAUUGCAAUUAUUAAUCUUCAACGAGGAAUGCCUAGUAGGCGCAAGUCAUCAGCUUGCGUCGAUUACGUCCCUGCCCUUUGUACACACCGCCCGUCGCUCCUACCGAUUGGGUGUGCUGGUGAAAUGUUCGGAUCGGCCGUUUGUCGCGGUUUCCGCGUCAUGUGGCUGAGAAGUUCAUUAAACCCUCCCACCUGGAGGAAGGAGAAGUCGUAACA
rnacentral:rRNA from 1 species